UACGUAGGUGGCAAGCGUUGUCCGGAUUUACUGGGCGUAAAGAGCGCGCAGGCGGUCGUUCAAGUCGCGUGUGAAAGCCCCCGGCUCAACUGGGGAGGGUCACGCGAUACUGAUCGACUCGAAGGCAGGAGAGGGUAGUGGAAUUCCCGGUGUAGUGGUGAAAUGCGUAGAGAUCGGGAGGAACACCCGUGGCGAAGGCGGCCAACUGGGCCGGACCUGACGCUGAGGCGCGAAGGCGUGGGGAGCGAACGGG
rnacentral:rRNA from 1 species